UACGUAUGGUGCAAGCGUUAUCCGGAUUUACUGGGUGUAAAGGGAGCGUAGGCGGCGCGUUAAGUCUGAUGUGAAAACCCGAGGCUCAACCACGGGAGUGCAUUGGAAACUGGCGGGCUGGAGUGCCGGAGAGGUAAGCGGAGUUCCUAGUGUAGCGGUGAAAUGCGUAGAUAUUAGGAGGAACACCAGUGGCGAAGGCGGCUUACUGGACGGCAACUGACGCUGAGGCUCGAAAGCGUGGGGAGCAAACAGG
rnacentral:rRNA from 1 species